CGCAUUUUCUUUCGGCCCUGCGUGUGUAUACAUUCGCUCAGCUGUUCUGAUUAGAAGUGAUCGCAGCUCAUCUGAUUGCACAAAUUCUCGAAGCUUUGGAAUUUAUUUUUAGCACACGUGCCAUGUCGGUUUGGUAUGAUCCUCGUGGAUUUUUGCUGCGUAAGAGCAUGUUAUUCGGUGUUUGAUUCGGUCGAUAUACGAACGUUUCUCGCUGAUUUAACAAACUCGCUCGCUCUUCACGUUAGUUAUCACAAGUUUGACAUUAAUCCGAGAUCGAUGUGCCCCGCAAAUUGACGCUCAAUUUUCACCGUGAUAGUUAAGGAUUAACCAUGAAGAAGACACGAUCGAAUAUUUUUCAUGAUAUUUAUUACCAGCCAUACGAUGAUUGUACCAGGAUGAAGCUUUACUCUAGCAGUAAAGCAAGUCUUCAAAUGGUGCAGCGUAUGGCAUUAUUAAAAAGAUUAAAAGUUCAUAAUGGUUGUGUAAACUCUGUUUGUUGGAAUGCUACCGGUGAUUUGAUAUUAUCUGGUAGCGAUGAUCAACACCUUGUACUUACGAAUGCUUAUAAUUAUGAGGUGUUAACAGAUUGUAAAACCAGUCAUAGAGCUAACAUAUUUAGUGCAAAGUUUUUGCCUAAUAGUGGAGAUCAUCGAAUAGUUUCAUGUAGCGGCGAUGGCAUUAUUUUGUAUACAGAUUUAAUGAGAAGGACUAAAACAUUUCAUAAUCAAUUUAAUUGUCAUAGUGGUACUACUUAUGAAAUAGCAACAAUACCUGGCGAACCACAUAAUUUUCUAAGUUGUGGGGAAGAUGGAAGCGUAAGAUGGUUUGAUUUAAGAAUAAAAGAUAAAUGUAGUGCACCCAGAUGUACAGAGGAUGUAUUAAUUUCAUGCGAAAGAGCUAUAACUGCCUUAUCAGUAAACCUCACUUCACCCCAUCAAAUAGCAAUCGGUUGUUCUGAUAGUACUGUUAGAAUAUUUGAUAGAAGAACACUUGGCACACCAGCUACUGGCUGGACAGACAAGGCUAGAGCAGUAAGGCCUAUAUGCAGUUUCACUGUUCCAGAAUUUGAAGGAAAUUCUCAUAGAAUAACAUCCUUAAAUUACAGUCCCGAUGGGCAAGAUGUGCUUGUUAGUUACAGUAGUGAUCACCUUUACCUGUUCAAUGUGAAGGAUCAAGCUAGUGUACACUUGAAAAAAAGUAUUGGCACAGGAAAAGGAAUGGGUAAAAAGAAAAGGUUACGCUCACCGUUACCGGUACGUAGAUUAAGACUCAGGGGUGACUGGUCUGAUACUGGUCCCGAUGCUCGACCUGAAUGCGAAGGUGGUCGACGUAGUGGGACAGAAAUUGCUCAAGCCAGGCCAGUUCUUCAUACGUCGUUGAUGCAAAGAAUGACAGAUGUUCUCAGUAGAAUGUUAAAUGAUCCAGCCACCAGGGCAGCGUUGUGCGGUGGCGGUGAGGAUAGUUUGGAAGGUGUAAUUGAUAAUCAAGAAAACGCGCAAAAUAACAACGAAAAUGUCACGGAAUCCACCGAGGAAAGGCAUAACGAAACUGAAGGAACAGAAAGAACUUCAGCUCAGAGUAAUCAGGAAACAGAUAUUUCAGAACAACCCACUGACAGACCCGAACAUCCAAGUUGUAGUGGUACACAAAGUAAACCUGAAACAAGUUAUUCCGCGGAAACGAAAGAAGAAGCAUCAUCGGAAACUAUGCCUUCUAAUGAAACAACCGAUGAAACAUCAGUUGAAUGCAAAUCGUAUGUUCCUAUGGAAACUGAAUCUAGUCAAGUAGAAUCACAAAAGUGUUCUGUCCAGCCUUGUUCUUCGCGCGAUGCGGAUAAUUCCAACGAUGCUCCGGAAGAAGAUCAAGUUAGUAGCGACGAUUCACCGUGUACCAGUAUGGGAAAUAAACAAGAAGGUCACAUGAUGAAAAACCUUCAAGAUAGACUAACGAAAAUGAGAGUUGGUUUUCUUGAAAAACACGGUAGCGAGCCUGCUGUGAGUUUAACUUAUACAGACAAAAGUUCAACGAGUGCUACGAUAUCUCUCGGUGUAGCUGAUGAAAUGAUUCGCGAUGGUUAUCAUGCAGGACCAUCUGGAAGUUGCAGCAGCGGAACAUUCUCUGGCAGAAAUCAUGACAAACACAUACGAUAUAACAAUACACAAGAAAAGACUGAUGAAAGUGAUUUUACUGAUAGUGACGACGAAGAUAUACAGUCCGGAGAAAGAUUAAGAAAUACAAUGGAAACAGACAUGGACGAAGCCGUCGGCAAUGCUCGGUCGCGUCGAGGAUCUGCGACCUUUGAUAAACAGUGCGUAACGGAGCUUCGCGUGAAGCAAAAAUAUAUGGGGCAUCGCAAUGCUAGUUUCUUUAGGACUAUGAUCAAGGAGGCGAACUUCUGGGGCAACGAUUUCGUCAUGUCGGGUAGUGAUUGUGGCCACGUCUUUGUAUGGGAGAAGGACACGGCGAGAUUGUGUAUGUUACUCGAAGCUGAUCAACACGUGGUGAACUGUUUGCAACCGCAUCCCUACUUGCCUUUGUUGGCUACCGCUGGUAUUGAUUACGACGUUAAACUCUGGGCACCGAUAAACGAGGAAUCUAGUUUCGACGAAAAGUUUGCCGAGGAUCUAAAAAAGAGGAACGCAGUCAUGUUGGAAGAGACCAAAGAUACAAUGACUGUACCUGCUGUAUUUAUGAUCAGAAUGCUGGCAUGUCUCAAUCAGAUACGCAGAGGUAGUGAACAUUUAUAAUAAUACUUCCCCAAGACCUACUGAUAGUACGCUACACUAGUAAAUGACCAACGAUACGUAAAUUAAGAAUAAUAUUACCGAGGAAUUUGGCAGCUUUUCUUGUUACGUGCAGGUAUUCAAGUACAUAACGGUGUAUAGAAUUUUAUCUGACUAUAUUUCCCACGUUGUGAAUGUGUCUAGCUUUUAUUAUUUCACCAUUUACAACCAUUAAAUUUUCAUCGUAUUCAAAUUUCUUUUUUUUUAUUAUAUAUAUAUAUAUAUAUAUCUAUCUAUAUCUUUAUUUUUUUUUAGCAUUAUAUAAAGAUACUUGUGGUGAUGUAUCAGGUACACACACACUUGUUUGCAAUUUAAUGAAUACAGAUGUAUAAUAUCGUUAAAGCUUAUCAAAUUUUAUGUUGUAUAAAGUUUAAGGGGAAAAGUCUCCGAGAAGAUCUCGGAGUAAAGUACAAAGUCUUAACUUAUUUCUAAGCCGUAGAGGCUAAGUAUUAUAAAUAAAACAAAAGGCAUAAAUAGAAAACUGAACAAUAAACGUAAUAACUAACAAUGAAGGACGCGGUCGGAACAGGCGGAGGGGCGGCGAUGAGAGCGGUGAAUUAAGAGGUGGCUAAGCCGUUUUCGACGAUAAUGCCGAUUGUGGGGAAAAAAGCGUCAAUCCGAUCCGAGGACGACUCCAACGAAAGCAUCUUAUCAACGUCGACGACUGACAAUUGAUUAGAAAAGUUCCAGCAAUUACAGCUAUAAAAAAAAAAAGAAAUGGAAAAAAAUAGAAAUCUAUAUUUAUGAUUUAUCGUUACAAAAAUAAUUGAACGAAUAUUUAAUCUGAUAAGCUUUGAGUACCGUAUCAUUAUUGGUGAGAGAUAAGCCGUUUCUUUUGUUUUCUCUUCUCUGUCGGUUCCUUUUUCGUCCUUGUUCUAUUUAUAACGCGUUUCGCAUAAGUUACAUGUAUUUUGUUUUGCCGACUUGUAUGAAAGUUACGAAGGCUUUUUCCCUUUCGUUUUUCUGUUUUUUUUUUUUUUAUAUACGGACAUUUCAAUGACAUUAUUAUUUUGAAUGGAACCACGUUAUUCAGCGUUUCAAGACGCAUUUAAUAACGCGAAGAUAAGACACGCGUUUAUGAGCAAAUCACGAGAUUUUUCUAGGUGAAUACAAAUGUGAAAGAUACAGAGUUCAAUUGUUGUUGUUAAUUUUUUAUAGAGUAAUGUGAUUAUUAAUUACAAAGUAGUGCGAUUAAAACAAACGUAUCUGGUUCCAUUUAAAGCACGAAACGUGUUAAAAUACAUUUAUCUUUUUCUUUUAGAUAGUAGAGUAAUACAUUUCUGUGUCGUUGAUAAUUCGAGAAAUAAAUUAUAUAUGGUGUUUCAUAACAUGGAUAAGUAAAUCAAUCCAUGAAUUUUUCAACUAAUGAAACCUGUUUUCCUUUUGCUCGUGUAACAAAAAAACCCGGCAAUGUUAAUUUGAUAUAUUUUCUUAUGCUGAAGUAUACUCCACAUAGUAUGAAACACCAUGUAAAUUCCAUAUAAUUUUUGUAACGCAACGCGUUACUUUCACCUGGUUACCUUGAAAUGUAAUCUCAACGAAUUGAAAACAUGUUCUUGAAAGGAUUAAGGAAAUUUCGCGUGUUUGUUUGUUCUAUUUUCUUUUUAUCUUCUUGUGUGAUUAAACGACAAAAGCUUCGAUUAAUUAAUUCUGUUGUUGUACAUUAUCGAGCAUAGUAGGCUUCCAUAGAAAAAAUGACGUCAAAACCUUAAUUUUGACGAUAGUAAUAUUAAAAGUGAUUUAGAAACACAAAAUAACAUCCUUUUAAUUAUUAAAUGUUACAAAAUUUAGUACAUAACUGAAAAAUACGAAUACUAAAGUAAAUAUUAAUUAAAAUUUUUCCGCGUAAAUGAUUAUAUGCAAGUAGUGGGGAGUCACGGGGCCUUCUACUCCUACAUCAUUUUCCUUGGGACCCUACCCUGGUAUGGACUGGGAACUUGGGAACUCGGGAGAGGCUUGGAAGCCUACCAUGCUCAGUGUUGUACAGUGUCUUGUCGAACUGAAUAAUAUAGCUUUUAGAUUGUAGAUUCGUUCACGCCUAGUUUGCGAUGGUGCGUUUGCGAUGUAGAGACGCUUUUGCUGGAGAAAAACAAAAGAACGUUUUCUUUUAGAUGUUUAGACAUUUCAAUGAAAAUAAAACGAAAAGGUUUAUCAAAGGAUAACACCGCAGAUGAAUUAUGAAAAAAUAGAUCAUUCAUAUAUUUUUAUCACACAGUUCAGGGUGGUUUAGAGCAUCCUUAUCAUUUUUAUGUCACAUCUUACCUUAUCGAUUGCGAUUCAAUCAUAAUGUUAUUGACGGUAGGAAUUAAAAUCAAAAACUUUGCGCGCAGGUUCGAAUCUCGAUGUGCCUUUUUAUUCUUUUUCGUUAUUAAAUUUAACUUUUCUAUUAUAUAUAAAUAUAUAUAUAUAUAUUGUGUAAACAUAAUUGUGGGAAAUUUGACAAAAUCAAAUUUCCAAAACUAGCGAAUUGGAAUACCUCUUUUAUUAUCAUCUUCACCUGAUACAAAAUUUCGAUUUUAUUCACUUCCUGAUUCAGUUUCUACGUAUGUACUGUAAUUCCUGUGUUACAAUAAUUAUAUCUACUCUUUAAAGUUACUUAUAGGAGUAGGAUGUGGGAAAAGCAAUGCUAAAACAUUAAUUUUUGAAUUCUUUUUCAUAAGAUGCUUUUAUCGAAUAAAGAAAAUGGUUUUUACUAUGUA